CAGAGUAAAGUUUAAAGGUAGCAACUCAUUUACACUGAGGAUAAAUUUGUCCAAAGUCUAAUUAUUCGGA
rnacentral:tRNA from 1 species